rnacentral:misc_RNA from 1 species
GGUUUCCUCCUCCGUUGGAGCAAUUUAACUUGACUACUGAUGCAACAGUCCUCUCAGGUGGUAAGAUUGGGCUAGGGGUAGUUCUGAGGGAUGAUAAGGCGGAAAUUAUGAUGGCAGCUUCGAAAGGCUUUUGUGCGUCCUAGGAUGUGGACUUAACAGAAAUCCAAGCCAUCUUCUUAGGGGUACACACAGCUUUUGACGCUGGUUUUGCUCAUUUCCAGAUUGAGAGUGGUAGGAGCUCUGUUAUCUCUCUGCAGCAUGAGUUGUGUGUUCCAGAUAUCCUGCACCUCCUUCACCCUGUGCAAGCGGUAGGUUUUCUGCAUGUUAGAAGGACAGCUAAUAGAUUGGCUUACUAGUUGGCUCAAGAUAGUUUAGUAAACCAGCACAUAAAUCUGUUUGGUUGGAGGAUGUUCCACCAAAUCUUGGGGCGAUAGCUGUUUCUGAUGUAAUUCUGUUUUCAGAUUAAUCCAGUGUUUC